GAGGAAGCCGGUGAGACUCCGGCACGGUCCCGCCACUGUGAGCCCGGCAGCGAUGCCGGGCGAGUCAGGAACUC
rnacentral:ncRNA from 1 species